GCUAAGGGGCGGGUAUGAUAUAUCUGGAUAUAGUGACUAAUCUUUCUAAGCACUUUUAAUCAAUCACAUUAACCUUCCAAUUCAUUCUUAUGUCAAUCAGACGUUCACAACAUUUUAUUUAUGACAUCCCAUUCCUUUAGAUCCAUUUGUAUGAAGUUACCACUUAUCAACUACUAUAUUUAUUCAUUUUUACGGGGUUCUUCUUCUUUUACUCUUCCAAAACUGCACCUAUCCUCUAUUUCAUUGGUUCCACUCAAAAACCAAACCAUCACCC
rnacentral:lncRNA from 1 species